GCCGUUGAUGAUCAAUUGAGCAUAUCACUGACUGUUGGUGAGGUGAUUUCAUUAGCUGAGGC
ensembl:snoRNA W03C9.9 ncRNA